rnacentral:rRNA from 1 species
GACGAACGCUGGCGGCGUGCCUAAUACAUGCAAGUAGAACGCACAGUUUAUACCGUAGCUUGCUACACCAUAGACUGUGAGUUGCGAACGGGUGAGUAACGCGUAGGUAACCUGCCUGGUAGCGGGGGAUAACUAUUGGAAACGAUAGCUAAUACCGCAUAAUAUUAAUUAUUGCAUGAUAAUUAAUUGAAAGGUGCAAUUGCACCACUACCAGAUGGACCUGCGUUGUAUUAGCUAGUAGGUGAGGUAACGGCUCACCUAGGCGACGAUACAUAGCCGACCUGAGAGGGUGAUCGGCCACACUGGGACUGAGACACGGCCCAGACUCCUACGGGAGGCAGCAGUAGGGAAUCUUCGGCAAUAGACGAAAGUCUGACCGAGCAACGCCGCGUGAGUGAAGAAGGUUGUCGGAUCGUAAAGCUCUGUUGUAAGAGAAGAACGGGUGUGAGAGUGGAAAGUUCACACUGUGACGGUAUCUUACCAGAAAGGGACGGCUAACUACGUG